GAAAGAGGCUGUUGCUUUGGGAAUGAUGCAGAGUGGAGAAAAAGAACAGCCAAAAGAGGCUAGACUUGAGAGAAAUUACAGUAAUUCAGUAAAAGCAGGAAAUAAUAGAAAAACAUUGACUCCAAAGAUCCUGGAAGGUGCCAGCAAGUGAGGUUAGGUUUCCCACUGUAGAUGUAAUGGAAACAUGGUUUCCCCACCAACUUCGAGGCUUGAGAGCAUUCAGAAAAAGUUUGGUCAACCUUGUAGGGGAACCAGCCCGCUAUACCACCCGCGGGUUCUCCCCUUCCCAGUGGAGACGAGGGAAUGAGAAAAGAAAUAAAGACAAACACACAAAGUUCAAGAGUUAACAAAAGUGGGUCCAGGGGUCCAUCGCAAUGUGGAAACUGCGACAGCCCUGAGCUCUGGAUUCCACUGAUAUUUACUGAAUAAUCCUUAAAGUCCAACUAAUUGGUUAACAGAACAGGACGUGAAAGCAGACAGCCCGUCAGACCACAGGCCUGUGCAUCAAAGGAGCGGUCCACUCCAAGCACCAUCAGCAGGGCAGCAGAGCUCUCUGCCUCUGGGAACGAGCGAGAGAUAGAAGACUUUCCCCUUAUCCUCAGAGGACUUCUCCUCUUUUACAAGCAACCUCCUGCUGUUCCCUUCUGGGGAAUGGAGCAGGGGUCGCUUCCCUUCCCACAAGACCUUUGUUCAGGGACUCAAGUGGGAGGUUGAGCAAUAAGCAAGCUUUCUUGCUUAGAGGCUCCGCACACUUCCUGUGGUUGUUUGUUCCACCCUGCAGUUAGGCAAGCAAGCUCACCGCCUGAUUCUUAUAUUGUCGGACUAAGCAGAAGCUAUUCUUAUGAUUCAUGACUAUAUUAAUAAAGCACUAUUCUAAAGC
rnacentral:lncRNA from 1 species